rnacentral:lncRNA from 1 species
UCCGCUUGCUGCCACGUCCCCGGCACUGGGGAGGGAGGCGUGAGUCCAGUCUGCCACGGCGCGGAGCUGUCGGGAGUCGACUGACAGAAGGUCACGGGCAACACCGGGAUUGCAGAGCACAGAACUUACACAGGUGUCCCGUUUCAGCAAUGUUCUCCUGCACGCCCGUCACAGAAAGUGCCGAAACACAGACACAACGUAGAAACCCCCACCUGUGUCCCCCAGCGCCACACAGCACAGGUGACAACCACCUGUGUCCCCCAGCGCCACACAGCACAGGUGACAAUCCAACCCCCACCUGAGUCCCCCAGUGCCACACAGCACAGGUGACAAUCCAACCCCCACCUGUGUCCCCCAGUGCCACACAGUACAUUUGACAAUCCAACCCCCACCUGUGUCCCCCAGCGCCACACUGCACAGGUGACAAUCCAGCCCCCACCUGAGUCCCCCAGUGCCACACAGCACAGGUGACAAUGCAACCCCCACCUGUGUCCCCCAGUGCCAUACAGCACAGGUGACAAUCCAACCCCCACCUGUGUCCCCCAGCGCCACACUGCACAGGUGACAAUCCAGCCCCCACCUGAGUCCCCCAGUGCCACACAGCACAGGUGACAAUGCUACCCCCACCUGUGUCCCCCAGUGCCACACAGCACAGGUGACAAUCCAACCCCCACCUGUGUCCCCCAGCGCCACACAGCACAGGUGACAAUCAACCACCCUGUGUCCCCCAGCGCCACACAGCACAGGUGACAACCACCCUGUGUCCCCCAGCGCCACACAGCACAGGUGACAAUCAACCACCCUGUGUCCCCCAGUGCCACACAGCACAGGUGACAAUACAACCACCCUGUGUCCCCCAGUGCCACACAGCACAGGUGACAAUCCAACCCCCACCUGUGUCCCCCAGCGCCACACAGCACAGGUGACAAUCAACCACCCUGUGUCCCCCAUCGCCACACAGCACAGGUGACAACCACCCUGUGUCCCCCAGCGCCACACAGCACAGGUGACAAUCAACCACCCUGUGUCCCCCAGUGCCACACAGCACAGGUGACAAUACAACCACCCUGUGUCCCCCAGCGCCACACAGCACACGUGACAAUCCAACCAGCCCAUCAAAGAAGCAUUGGAAGCUGUAAAAUAUUGUUUA